GAUGAAGAACGUAGCGAAAUGCGAUAAGUAAUGUGAAUUGCAGAAUUCAGUGAAUCAUCGAAUCUUUGAACGCACAUUGCGCCCGCCAGUAUUCUGGCGGGCAUGCCUGUUCGAGCGUCAUUUCAACCAUCAAGCCCCAGGCUUGUGUUGGAGCCCUGCGGCUGCCGCAGCCUCCCAAAACCAGUGGCGGGCUCGCUAUCACACCGAGUGCAGUAGUUUACUCUUCGCUCAGGGCGUGUGGCGGGUGCUAGCCGUAAAACCCCCAACUUCUCAAGGUUGACCUCGGAUCAGGUAGGACUACCCGCUGAACUUAAGCAUAUCAAUAAGCGGAGGA
rnacentral:misc_RNA from 1 species